rnacentral:tRNA from 1 species
GGGUGGUUAGCUCAGGUGGUUUAGAGCGUCUGCCUUACAAGCAGAAGGUCGGGAGUUCGACUCUCUCACCACCCAC